AGUGAACGCUGGCGGUAGGCCUAACACAUGCAAGUCGAACGGCAGCACAGUAAGAGCUUGCUCUUACGGGUGGCGAGUGGCGGACGGGUGAGGAAUACAUCGGAAUCUACUUUUUCGUGGGGGAUAACGUAGGGAAACUUACGCUAAUACCGCAUACGACCUACGGAUGAAAGCAGGGGAUCUUCGGACCUUGCGCGAUUGAAUGAGCCGAUGUCGGAUUAGCUAGUUGGCGGGGUAAAGGCCCACCAAGGCGACGAUCCGUAGCUGGUCUGAGAGGAUGAUCGGCCACACUGGAACUGAGACACGGUCCAGACUCCUACGGGAGGCAGCAGUGGGGAAUAUUGGACAAUGGGCGCAAGCCUGAUCCAGCCAUACCGCGUGGGUGAAGAAGGCCUUCGGGUUGUAAAGCCCUUUUGUUGGGAAAGAAAAGCAGCAGGUUAAUACCCCGCUGUUCUGACGGUACCCAAAGAAUAAGCACCGGCUAACUUCGUG
rnacentral:rRNA from 1 species